GGGAGGAGGAGGAGGAGGAGGAGGAGGGGAAGAGGGGAAGAGGAGGAGGAGGAGGAGGAGGAGGAGGAGGAGAAGGAGGAGCGGUCGCUGCUGGAGCCGAGGAGCCGGAGCCCGGCCCGACCCCGACCCCGACCCCGGUCCGCGGCAGUCCCGGGCCACAUAUCCAUGAGCUCCGAUUUCCAGCAUUACACUUUCAGAAUGCCUAACAUCGGGUUCCAGAAUCUGCCUCUCAACAUAUACAUUGUGGUUUUUGGCACUGCGAUUUUUGUCUUCAUACUUAGUUUACUCUUCUGUUGCUACUUAAUCAGGCUAAGACAUCAAGCCCACAAAGAAUUUUACGCCUACAAACAGGUUAUAUUAAAAGAAAAAGUAAAAGAGCUGAAUUUGCAUGAGAUCUGUGCUGUCUGUUUGGAAGAUUUCAAGCCCAAAGAUGAAUUGGGUAUCUGCCCGUGUAAGCACGCCUUCCACAGGAAGUGCCUCAUCAAGUGGCUGGAGGUCCGGAAAGUGUGCCCACUGUGCAACAUGCCGGUGCUGCAGCUGGCGCAGCUACACAGUAAGCAGGACCGCGGCCCCCCCCCGGGCCCCCUCCCUGGGGCCGAGAACAUAGUCUAGCCCGCCCCCAGGACGGACUCGGACACACGAUAUCGCAGAGAACCCCAGGCGGAGGGCCGCUCGCCCCUGAACCGGCCGCCCCCGCGCAGAUGCACCAGUGAUCCCCGGCCCUCCCAAAGAGCUGCUCCUUUGGGUCCCGAAGCCACCGGAAGCCUCGGCCGCCCGCCCACGUCCUGGCACGGAGGGCCCGCGGGUGGGGGGUCCCGUGUGCGGCCCCAGCCCCUGUGCCCACCCAGAGUUUGCCUUGGAUAAGCAAGUGGGUGAUGGUAAGUGUGGCAGGAGGGACUGUGGGCUGAGCCUCGGGGGCUGGACCCCUGGACCACCAGGUCAACCCCCCCCCAGAGACCAAGCGUGAAGCUCCCUGAGCCGCCAGAUGAGCCGGCCCGCUCCAGACCCGCUGGCAUCCUGAUCCUGGAUCCCCAAAUCCCGUGGUUCUGAUGAAAAGCCCGGAGCCGCUGUGGGCCGGAUUGGGCAAGGCCCAGGGGAGCGGUGACUGCGCCACAGCCCUCGGCACUGGAUUGUCACCGGUGGUCAGACAGUGAGGAGCCGGAGAAAGAGCAUGGGUGGUCAGCACUGCCCAGCCAGGCGGCGGCGGGUUCUCCCCGGGACUUCCUGCUGGCCCGAACUGAGUAACAGGACUUGGGGUGGGGCAGCCCCGAGACCCAAGGGCAGGAGGGAGCAUCCGGACCGGGUCGUCACCCUCCCCAAUGACUCAGUAAGCCCACAGUCACCAAGCCUCCGGGAGCUGGGCCGCCAGCGGAUAGACUAGUGGCCGUGCAGCCAGAUUGGACACCAGCGCCCCUGAAAGUCAGCCCCCCAAAAGAAGCACCUGCCUACCCGAUCCCAGGCUCAGCCCACAACUGUUCCUCCCGUCUGUCCUCCCCAAACCCCUUUGUCUGACCCCAGUUCUACCCAUCUCUUGUCCUUAUUAGAACAAACGGUUCUUGAGUUUCCAGUUAGCUCUGAGGCACUGCUCUGAAAACAUCCCACGGUCUGUAUUUUUAAAAAUAUUUGAACUUGUAAAUAUUGUAUUCAGCAGCCCAGGAUUAAGGAGCCCACGAUUGUGUGUUUAGUUUUGUACUUGGCUCUGGAAACAUUAGCAAAAAGCCUAUUUAUAGAAGCCAUAGAUGGCUUUGUCUCUUGCACUCACAGACUUUUGUAGAAAUGACCCAAAAGUAGCUGAUCUUUGGGGGGUACCAGAAUAUGUUGUAAAUUAGCUCUUAGAAAGAAGCGAUGGCCCUAGCGGCUCUUCCCCACGGCCCAGCCCGGCCCCUCACAUAACUUCGGCAAGGCCUCCGUGUCCGGGAAGGCUGCUCUGCCUGUAUCAUGUCCCACACCUGCUGGAACAUGGCGGGCCAAGACUGAACUAAAGCAAAAGAUUUCAUCCUCAAGUGCUUCCCGCUGGUGCCCCCCCCUCCCCACCAUCCACUAGAAAUCAGAAAGGGAUUCCACCGGUUAGGGGGCUAGAAAAGGAAAAUGGAAACUGCAGUUGUGGGGAGCCGGCGGACUCCUCCCCCGGUCUGAUCUGGGGGGUUCUGUAGGUCCUGUCCGGGUUCUCGAACAAGGGAGUGGAAGGGAAGGCUAUUUUUAUAGUAGAGCUAAAUUUAACCUGCUGGGCUCCAUGCUUCUUUUCUGAGCCAUUAAUGGAAAGGAUACCAGUUAUAAGUACUCCCGCCUCCCUUCUGACUUAUCUAUUCCUUUUCUGCAUCUCUGGCAGUCGUUAAGUGCCGGGAAACCAAUAGAUUUGCCUGAACUUUGGUAAAACAGGUUUACAGUAAAAUAUUUUUAGUGACCAAUGUCAAAAGAGAAUAUUGGGCUUGUCUCUGGAUCUGUACAGUUCAGUUACAUUGUUUACAGCCUAGGAUUUUCCAGGAACAUGGGACAGCUUUGGAAUAAGUGCCAUUUCUUCCAUAUGGGGCCACGAUCAAAACAGAAGUCAGAAAUCUGGGGACCGUGAAGCUUUUAGCUUGUGCUCCCGUCCCCUCCAACCCCAAUCUGUAGGACUACCCCCUUGGGGCCGUUGCUCUGCUUCUUUGAGUAGGGACCUCAGCAAGGGACUUUUUUUAAGGGCAAAACAUUUUAGUCCAAUAUCUCAAAUAUUCUUUCCAGCUGAAAGUCUGUUCAGACAUUGACUCUAUAAUUCCAACUUAGCUCCGUCGACCGAGGGCCAAAAUAACAAAAUCAAAAUGUCUUCUCAUUCACAGAUCGGAAAGGAGUCCAGUUGGGUACAAAUGUCCCAACAGACUCCACCUGGUGUCUGUACUGUUUGUUUACACUAAUUGUCUAAGCAGAAAGUCGGCACUGUCCCCACGAAUCCAUCCUGACAUUAGUCAAUAAGCAAAGUGGAUGAUGUUAAGCAAGCGAUUGAUCGGAAGAAAUCUUGCCUCUGCUUAGUCAUCCGCUCCUGUAAUGGAGUUUGAGGACCCAGUGCCAAAAGCCAGUCACUUCUCCCAGCCCCUUAAGCCUGGUGACUUGUGACCCUGACCUAGUGGAGAACGGAGGUAUCCAGCCCGUAGUCUGCGAUGGGAGAGACCCUCUGGGCCAAGCCAACGGUCCUUGCUCAAAGACCUCCCAGGGGCAUUCCCUGCUCGUUCCGGACCGGUCCUGAUAGAAAUACUAAGUGAUCGUGCGCUCCGGCCAGAACAAUACAGAACGUAGUUGUAGGUGUAGUUGCACGUUUGGCACCAGUAUUAAAUCCAAGAAGGAGAAAGAAGGAAUGAGAAAAGAAUCCCUUUGAUCCCUGAAUCAAGCUGAAAGCCCUGGAAGUCACUGGCCGCUCCCCAUCUCUUGGUGAAGAUCCAGGGGGAAGUUUAGGCCUUUGGGGACUUUUGCCUAUUUACCCAUCAAUGAUUUUUGUGUUUCUAACUGAAAUAUGAAGAAAGGAAGCUGAAAAAUUGGACUUCAUUGACCCGUCGCCAGCCACUCACUCGCCUUCUCCAGCUGCUGACCCGGAAUCUCUUGUACUCACUGGGACUCAGGGACAGGGCACAGGAACCCGCGGCCUUUGAUGCUGGGCCUGGGAGGCAGCCCGGGGCUUCCCGGCUUUCUUAGCUGCAGAACCUGUAGCAUUUUCCACUUCCUCAGAUGAGACCCGCCAGGAGGGAUUUAGGGACAGAAUAAACGAAAUGAAAGUGUAGGCAGCACCACCUCCUCUUGCCGGGUCAUGCUGGGCUCCCUGCCCUCCGAGGGCUUACGUUCUAAUCAUGGAGCCCACACCUGGAGCGUUCGGUCUGGAACAAGAGCCCACGUGUGUUUCCCUCGUGAGCCCCCCAGGCCGAGGACUAGCUGGCCUCCCCUGUCAGGUUAUUACCACCACGAUCAGACCGCUCCAUGACCUGCAGGGGUGGCCGGGGGUGGUCACUGUGCCAGCGGGCUCCCAGGGCUGCCCGUGAGGAGCGCCUGCCGCUGUCGGCCCUCAGCCUCCCCCCUCACCGCCCCAGCCCGGCCAUGGCUCUGAGCUCUCCGGGCUGGCUGACUGUGAGCCCUCUCUGGGAGGGGAGAUGGCUCCCCUUCCCAGCCACGGUCAGUCCAUCUGGAACCGCAGAAUCGCUCUUGAACCACAUUCCUUUCCAGCAAGACAGAUCCUCGGUUACGACAUAAUGGAAUUCCUUGUUUCUAGACAAACGGAACCUUCCACUCCCUCCCUCACCCUCGCCAUAAAAGCUGAGAUUUGACCUUUUAAGUGCCCAACCAACCAGAGAUGGGACGUGGACUCAUCAGGGCCCUCAUGUGGCCCGGGCCCAAGUCAGCCAAACCAUCCCCUUCCCCGACCGCCCUUGCUUUAGCCGGACCUUUUCCAUCCUUUCUCCUCAUCACCUCCUUAGAGAAGCUGGAGCCCGGGGGGCUUGGGGAGGAAGGGCCCCGUGGCUUGUGUCGGGCUGCCAGAGACGGGCGCUCCUUCCCUGAGGAGGGGCCGGCGCGGGGAGAGCCAAUUCCUCCUCCAGCCGGCGAGUGGGGAAGGCCCAGGCUCCUAGUGGCGGCUAAACCGGCUGUAAUUGUGGAGAUAGGAUUGGAAAGCGGAUCCCUUGACAGCACAUCUGGUGCACGGCCACUGGGCCGGCCGCCUCUGGCCACCCAGAGCCACAUGCAAAGUUCCCCUCCCCCAGCCCCCACCUCCUCGUCUUUUCUGAGUCCUGGCCCGGCCCUGGGCCAAAAGCACUUGAAUCCUGAGCCUUGAAGCUGAAACUUGAAAGGAAAGGCUCGGCAGAAGCACUUUUCAGAUCCUUUCAGACUUUAUUCCCUCCAUCCCUCCCUCUCUCAGACCCACAUCCUGAGUCACUAACCCUUUCCUUACCCAAACUGCAAACAAUCGUUGGGGAAAGGAGGGGUGUUGUGCAGGCUUUAUGCAAUGAACUUUGUCCCCGGUGGCUUUGGGGGAGAAUCAGUCGCUGCUUUUUUUUCAUAAACGACUCGGACGCUUACUCCCGGUUCAGAGUCUGUAAAAAUAUCUUGAAAACUACGUAUUUGGGAGUUGAGAUUUAGGAUCGAGGUUUGUUACAAGUCGUUCUCAUCAGCGUUAUUUGUCUCCCGUCUUCAUGGGUGAGUGGCCAAGAACCCUAACAUCGGAACCCCCAGAAGGAACCAAUUUCUCCUAGAACCGAACCCCUCAGACGUCCCUGGGACUUCUGACCGCCCCAGUCCUGGGGCUGCCCGGGGCCUGACGCCAGCCCUUCUAGCCUUUGGGCCUUUGGGCCCCCAAUCGGUGCCAUCCGGUUAGCUGGGCGCGGGGCUCGGCCUCCUGGUCAGUCCCGCCAGAGGCCCGGGCACUGCUGCCGGCGGCUCUCCCACCAUGCCCGCUGUUUCUCAUUUGCUGACCCUCGGGAUGGCUGGAACGCCCUUCUCCUUUAACAAUGAUUGAUCGCCAGGCAAGACAUCCAGUAUUAACGGGUGGAGAGACUGAAAGUCUCCCGUGAAAGAAUAAGGCAGCCCCGACCCCGGGAAGGGGAGCCCGGCCAGCCGCCGCUCCGGUGCCUCGGCGCGAGCUGGUCUCCCCACGGCGCGAGCUGGUCUCCACGCGGCGCUCGCCGCCCCUGGGUGAUCCAAGUCGAUAUCGUGUAACUCCUGCGAAAGUUUGUGAAACUCUGAGCCUCUGGUUUCAUAGACAUAUUUAUACACUAAGGAUUCUGCAGCAGAAUAUUUUUGAAAUCAUUCGCUGUUUUUGUAAGCUAUAUUUUUGUAUAUUUAAUUGCUAUUUUAAAAUUCUAAUGCAUCUUUUGCUAAUCACAUCCUUGUUUUGAAAAAAUAACGUUUGCAUGUGAUUGACUUGAAAUGUAAAUAAAAGCAGGUUUUGAAAAUACAUGUUGUCGGGACGCGCCCUCUCUGCGGCCGAGCUGUCGGGGGCCUCCUCCGCAAGGUCCUGGGGAGCAGAAGCCUUCCAGCGGCGGCAGCGCCCGGCCCUCAGUGCGGGGCUUCUCCGGAAGGAGGAGCUCGCCGGGGAAUGAACCCAACAGCAACGAAGCCCGAGCCCCUGGCAGUGAGCAGCCCCCUCCCCCUCAGACGCCCCCACCUUCGGGGCCUCGGGCCUCAGGGCAGGGCUUGGCCCAAGUAACUAACGGCUAACGGGCGGGGGCCAAGGCCGGGGGCCUCGCACCCGGGACCCGCAGCGGCACAGGCGGGACCAGGAGAAGGCCUGCCCCCCGCCUUCCCCCGCCCCCCGGCAGCCGUCGGUACGCGGGCCUCUCCUCUCCGGUCUCUGAGCAUCUAUUAAGCGCCUUCUGUGCGCCGGGUGACCUGAGCACUGCGACGAGGGCAGGCCCAGCAGCUCUUCCCCAGGACUUCCGGGUCUCUCUCCGGGCCGGCGCACGCUCUCUCCGAGGCCCCGCAGUAGCAGCUGCGUUUCCAGGAGCCCCAAGUUCAAAUCCCGCCUCGGACCCCGAGCCCCGGGGGACCAUGGACAGGCCGCGAAAUCCGUGAGAGGCGUUGGGCGGCGGGACCUGGGGACUUGCUGUGAGCCUCGGAGGGUCCCAACCAGCCCCUCAGAACCCGGCCUCCUCCUGCAGAGUAUCUGCGCAUAGUAGGCGCUUUAUCAAUACUUGAACUUGACAGGGAAAGGAAGCAUUCUGUGCAAUGAUUCAGGAUCAAGCAAAGAUUUUCCUUAAGAAAAAGACGCAUUAAGGGAAAAAACCAGACAUGAACAUAAUUGUAAAGUUUUUUAUACAAAUAAAGUCAGAUUUAAAUAACUGGAGAAAUAUUCAUUGUUCACAGGUGGGCUAAACCAAUAUCAUAAAAUUUUAUCUAAAUUAAUCUAAUUAUUCCGUGCCAUUUGAAGUAAAUCACUCAAAAAAUUAAUUGAAUUAGAAAAAAUAUAAUCCAUUUGGAAGAACAAUAGCUCCAGAAUAUCAAAGGAACUCAUGGAAAUAAGUAAAGGAAGGAGAUCUGGCAUGAGAGUCCAGCUCUUAAAUGCAUCAUAAGGCUAUAAUUAUUUCAACUUGCAGGUACUGACUAAAGAACAGAAAGGUGGAUCAGUGUAGAUAUACAACACACAGUCGGAAAAGACUGUAACAAGCUCCUGGUUAACAAAUGCAAAGGUUUACGCUUUCGGGACAAGAAUUCGCCAUCUGGUUAAAAAAAAAAAUUGGAAGGAAAACUAGAAAGCAGUUUGACAGAAACUGGGUAUAGACCAGCAUCUUAUACCAUUUACCAAGAUAUGAUCAAAAUGGACACAUGACCUAGACGUGAAAGGAGAUCUCAUAAGUAAACGUACCCUCUAUCAGAUUUAUGAAUAAGAUGAGAAUUUAUGAAUAAACAAAUUAAAGAGCAUUGUGGAACAUAAAGUGAAUAAUUUUGAUCCCAUUAAGUUCAGGUUUUUUUGUUUUUUUACAAAUACAUGUUUCCGAGAUUAGAAAGAAGUAGAGAAAUGGAGGGAGGGAUUUGAUAAGAGUUUUCGGAUAAAAGCCUCCCUCAUAUCAAAUAUGUGGGGAACCUUGUCACCUUUUUAAGAAUACAAAUCAUUCCCCAGUUGAUAACUUGACAAAGGAAAUGAACAGGCAGUUUUGGGAGGAAGAAAUCAAAGCUGUACAUAGUCAUGUGAGAAAUGCUCCAAGUCAUUAUUGAUUAGAGAAAUACAAAUUAAAAUAUCUAUCAUCACCCAUCAGAUUGGCUAAAAUGAUAUGAGGAGAAAAUGACGAGUGUCAGGGGGAUGUGGGAAAAACGGGGACACUAAUUCACCGGAGGUGGAAACGCAACGGGAUCCAGCCGUUGUGGAGAGCGAUCUGGAACUUCCCCCAAAGAGUCAUCAAACUGGAUAUACCCGUUAAGCCAACAAGAUCACUCACUAUUCGUUGUUUCCCAAAGUGAUCGGGGAGAAGGAAAAGAACCCAAUGCUUCCAAAAUAGUUAGAGAAGCUCUUUGUGGUGGCAAAGGACUACAGAGGAAAGGGCUGCCCCGACAUUGGGGAUGGACUGAAAAAGUUGUGCUACCGGAUCGUGAUGGUGAUGGCCUAAGGAGUUCUGGGCAGGCUGAUCCCAGAAAAACCUGGAAAGACUUGCAUGAAAUAAGGAGAACGGUGAAAUAAAUAAAUGAGAAACAAAUGUUAAUAAUGAAAUUAAGAAAACAUCUAAAUAAUACUGAACAUUGAAUUGAGUUGAAUCUUGAAUAAUAUUGAAAAAAUAUUGAAGAUGCUAAUGGCUCCAGAGAAAGAGAAGUCCAAUAUGUAUUUGUGUGUGUGUGUGUGUGUGUGUGUGUAUAUAUAUAUAUAUGUCAUAUAUAAUGUCAGACGUUGCCUUUCUCUAACUCAGGGCUGGGAAAGAGGAAGGGAAACAUCUUGGAACCCAAAUGUAACAAUAAAUAAAUCAUUUUUUAAAGAAAAAGAAGAAAACUUGGGGAUGAUCUCUUCAAACGGAAAGGAGGGAAUGGGUAAUGUGAGAACGCCCCCUCCUCAGGUUGGAGGACGUAAUCAGUAAUGAUUUCUGGGACCCCAAUGACAUAACCACUGUAUUCUGGGAAGAGAAGGCGAGAAGGGGAACAUGUCCGCUUGUAGCUGGAGAUGGGCAGGGAGCUUGACCUCCAAACGCGAGUGCUGGCCCUGCAGCUGACCGGGGCUCCUUGAGGGAGGGAGCCAUGUCUCCACCUCCUGCCCUUGAGCUGGGAUCUCCAGAAGGGACGCGGGUGCCAGGAGUCCAGGAUCCCCUCGUCGGCACCCCAACAAGCAGCCGCCCCACUUUUGCUGGAUCGCUCUUGGGGAUUGGCCUUGUGGACCACUCUGUCCAUGAGGUUUUCUUCCCAGAAAUGCUCGCGUGGCCGCUUCCCAGUCCAGUGAAUUAUGGGAAGAUGAGUUUGUCGACAUUUUGGCUGCACUGAGCUCAGGCCCAUGGGGCUCUUCCUGAAGACCCGGCCCCCCAGCUGGACGCCUCUGCAUCGAGCCUACAUCUGCCCCCCACCCUGCUCCGGCCCCCCUGCAGCACGUCGGGGUCCUUCCCAAGGCGGGGCCCUCAGCACGAAGCCUCCGCCCCAGACGGGGCCUGACCAGGACGGAGGGACCCCUGAUCCCAGACCCCCAGCCUCCAGCUGCAGGAGAACAUCCGAGUCCGGGCCUCUAAGUCCCCAGCCCCGGUGGGGCCGUGGGUCCUGCUCCCUUGGUCUCCUCCCAGGGGCCGGCAUGGAGGAUGCUCCAUCUGGAACAGAACCUGGAAGGGAAACCUCUGUUCCUCCGGCCUUCAAGGGGAGGCUCCGGAGCCACUGGGGAAUGCUGGGAGGGACCUCUGGCUCCUGGAAUGCCUGGGAUCCUUGGGAAGAAGAACUCUCCCUCAUUUCCUUUUCUUCCCCUAAACAGGCCAAAUUAUUCCAAGAUUUCACUUUCUGUUCUUCUCCCAGAGGAUCAAGAUUCCCGGCACAGAAAGAGUUCAAGGAAACCGAAACUGCGCCUCCCUGCACACAUCUGCCCCUGGGAUGAGGGGCCAAAGGGGCGGGGGGCCGCCGAGCAGGGAGGGGGAUGGGAGGGGAGGGGAUGGGAGGGAAGGGGCCCUCCGGGCAGGGGAGGGGGAGGGGAGGGGAAGGGGAUGGGAGGGAAGGGGCCAGCUGAGCCGGGGCCACCGUCCCUCUGCCCCCAGGCCGCUGUCUUCUGGGGAGAAGCGACCCCUACUACACCUUCAGAGAUGGCCCCCAAAGAGACGGGGACCCCCAGGGCAUCUGCAGGGGCCCUCACCUCCUACGAGAUCGGCUACCCCCGCCCACACCUGUAGAGGAGGUUUCUCAUUCCCUCUGCCCCCAGCAGUCGGGGCCGCCACGGGUGCCUGUCCCGCCCCCACCCCCACAAGGAGCCGGAGCCGGAAAGGGCACUGGGGGGGCCCAGGCCCCAGGAGGCCUCGGGGCAGCGGUCGGUCCUGGGGGGCCUCUCGCGCCUCGGGGGAGCCUGAAGCUCUCUGGGCUCCCUUCCAGAGCUGACCACGUGUCUCGGACCAGGGCAGGCGCGCGUCAGGCCGAGGGAGGGCCCUGGGCCCUGGCUGGCAGCGCGCUGGCACGGCGGAGGGCCGGCCGAGCGGGGGCGGGGCGGAGGUCCCAGGGAAGGGCGCGGCCCCGGGCGCCGCCCACCGCGGGAGCUUCUGCCAGGCGCCGGGGGCCUGAGGCUGGAGGAGCCGCUCCCAGGACCGAACGGGAGCCCCGCUUCCGCAGCUGUAGCGUGAGGCCCGCAGCCGUCGUGACCUUCUCCAGGCCCCACAAGAGCCCCCUCCCCGCCCCGCUCCCUCCCCGAGCAGCCGGAACAGGCGUUCCCGCCCGGCCGGGCGGCCUGGGAUUUCCCACCGGCUCCGAGCUCCGUGGGCCGGCCUGCCCCGAGCCACCGGCCCUGGCUGGGGGAGGGGGGGAGGGGGCCGGAGACCCGGCGCCCCCCCCCCAGUCUGUCUCGGGAGGGCGCAGGCCCUGCCCCCGCCCCCUUCUCCCCCCGUCAGCCCGCCCGGGAGCCCCGGGGUCCGUGGCCCAGGCCGGAGGCGGGACGUCGGGAUCCCGCCUGCGGGGCCGCGCUGCCCCCUGGCGGCGGCCGCUGCCCCAGCCGGCGGAGCCGAGCCCCGCGACGUCCCGACCCGGACCGGGCCGGUGGGGUUCGGGCGAGGUGCUGGCGAAGUCGGCCCCGUUGGCGGGCCCAGUGGCGGGCGGGGGCGCGGGGGCGGUGAGGGAUUUACGCGGCGCGGGCUGGGCUUCAGCCCCCACAGUCACCCUGCGGAGAAGCGACGAGCCCACUUCCAUAGAAGGGCGAACUGAGGCUCGGGUGAAGUGACUUUCCCAGGAUCACAAGCGGCCGGCAAGAGUCUGAUGCCGGGCUCGGCCAAGAAAGCCCCGCCCGCCCCCUCGGCCCCGCCCGCCCCCGGGCUCGGCCCCGCCUAAAAAAGGGUUUUUAACAAAGCACUUAGCGCGCGCCUGCUGUGUGCACGAGGCCGGACGUUAGGCGGCCUCUGCGCGGGAGCUCGCGCUCUAACCCGCCACUAGUGGGUGAGGGAGGAGCCGGGGGGCGGGGAGGUGCCCCGGCAGCUGCGGGCGUCCGGAAGGAGACGCCCCGUGGCCCCGCUCCCGACCCAGCCCGGGUCCGUCACAAGCCCCCGGGAGCCGCGGGCGGAGUUAGAGGCAGGGGCGUUUCUCGGCAGGACCUCACUCACACCGCUAAGGAGAAGUGCCCGCUGCCCGCGCAGCUGCGGCAAAACGGAGGGACCGGCGCGAAACGCCUUCGGAGCCUUCCGUCCUAGGUGGGGCCCUUGUUAGCCAGGAGACCUCGCCUCGCAGAAGGGACCCAAGCUCUAAGGCGGCCCGUUUCCAGGCAACGGAGCGGCUUCCCUUGGGAGGGACCCUUUCCGGACCUCGACCACGGGAGCCGAGGCAGCCAAGCCUGGGGAGAACUCCCAGGGGGGCGCCGGGCGCUCUCGGGCCCCCGGGGGUGCAGCGCGGCCCCAAGGCAAGCGGGGGGGGGGGGGCUGACGGGAAAGGGGGUUGUGUCCUCGGGGGGCUCCGACCAAGGGCACUGCAGCCCCGCAGAAAGCACCCCCCAAAAAGGCACUGCAGCCCCGCAGAAGGCACUGGAGCACCGCAGAAAGCACCCCCAAUGAAAGCACUGCAGCCCCGCAGAAAGCACCCCCCAAUGAAAGCACUGCAGCCCCGCAGAAAGCACUCCCCAAAAAGGCACUGCAGCCCCGCAGAAAGCACUGGAGCCCCAAUGAAAGCACCCCCCAAUGAAAGCACUGCAGCCCCGCAGAAAGCACUCCCCAAAAAGGCACUGCAGCCCCGCAGAAGGCACUGGAGCCCCGCAGAAAGCACCCCCAAUGAAAGCACUGCAGCCCCGCAGAAAGCACCCCCCAAAGAAGGCACUGCAGCCCCGCAGAAGGCACUGGAGCCCCAAUGAAAGCACCCCCCAAAGAAGGCACUUCAGCCCCGCAGAAAGCACACCCCAAGGAAGGCACUGCAGCCCCAAUGAAAGCACCUCCCAAAGAAGACACUGCAGCUCCGCAAGAGGCACUCCCCGGGCGGCUUUGGGGAACGUGCGGGCAAAAGCAGCUCCAGGCUGCGGCCGCGCCGAGGGCUCCGGGACCACUAGAAAGCAGCCCCUCCCGUCUCAUCCUGGAAGCCCCGACAGGACUUGCUGCCACAAGCCCCAACUCACUGGCCGUCAGCGUCCACACUACACGGGGAGGACGGGUAUCAAAAACUGCCAUCAAGAAGGGACUCCUGCUACUAGUAAAAAUUGGCAAGCACCUUCUCUACAAUUUAGCGCUAGAAUCUAAUUUUGGUCUCAUGACUUCAAUAAUUGUUUCUAGUUUGUUCUUUGAUCCGCUCAUUAUUUAGGAUUUUAUUAAGUCCCCAUUUGAGUCUUUGUCCUCCCUGACCUGAUUAUAUUAUUAGCUAUGGUUUAUAAAGAAUACUAUUUCUACCCUUUUUUACAUUUGUUUGCAAUGCCCUGGCAUGUGGUCAAUUUUUGUAGAAGUUCCAUGUGGUGCUGAAGUCCUAUUUAAACAGUCCCUAUUUAGUCUUUUAGCUCAAUUUUCCGAUUAAAUUCUGUAGUUUUUCUUUCUUCUGUUAAGAUUUAUGCCAAACUGAGGAAUACUGAAAUCUGCUAGUAUGUAUAUGUCCUGUAAUUCUGCUGACUUAUAAAUGUAGAUGCAAAGGCACUUGAAGCAUAGAUUUAUUAUUGCUCUUGGUUUGUUGUCAGUGAUUCCUUUCAGCACAUUUUCCUUGUUCAUCCCUUUUCAGUUUGGCUUUUUGUCUUUGCUUCAUCUGACAUGAUUCCAAUUCCUGCUUUUUGGAUUCACCAGAUACAUAAAAAAAAUUUUCCAACCUUCAUUUUUAUUAUGUCUCUUUGCUUUUCAGGUGUUUCCUAUGAAAUGUUAGAUUUGUUUUCUUAUCCAACCUUUUACUUUUUCAUUUUAUUGGAGUUUUUAAUCCAUUCACAUUUAGUUAUGACAGCUGUUUACUAUUUUCUCCAUUUGCUAAUUUUUUUUUGUUUCCUGAUCUUCCUCCAUAUAGCACUUUGUCUCGUUGUAAGCUUGAUCUACUUUAAAAGCAACCCUAUUCCCACCAGCUGUCUUCCCCUUAUCCUAAGCCCACCCACUCCCAUGAUACCCUUUUUUCAUUGUUGCCUUUUUUUUUUCCAUCUACCAAUUUCAUUCUUUCCCAUUAUUCCAAUAGUCAAGCAAAAUCCUCCCUCUUCUUUCACUUUUGUUUUAAAAUUUUAUUUUCUGCCCCUUACACCAUUUUGUUUCCUCAUUAAUUUCUCUUCCCCGUUUAUUCAAAACUAUACUAUCCUACUAGGGGAUGAGAAAGGCCUUUUGGAGGACAUGGGAUGAACUGCCCUUUGAAGGAAGCUAAGGAUGCUCCAAGUGGAGACAAGGGAGUCUGAUUAGCUUUCAAGUAAAUAAUCUGUUUGCAUUUCUUAACAUACCCCCAGAAGAACACAAACUCCUCGCUAGGGGGGAAUUUCUCCGUUUCUUUUUCCCUACUACCCAUCCACAAAAAAAAGCACUCCAGACAUAAGCCAUGGCCAGUGCCAAGGCAUGGCGGUGCGUUUUUUGAGGAACAAAGGAGCUGAGUUCCAGAAGGGGAACAACAUAAAAUGAAAUUAAGGUAUGUUGAGGCAAGCUAAAGGUUUUAAAAGCUGAAGUGUCUAUUUUAUCCUGGGGGAGGGGGACUCUAGAUUGUGAGUGAGGGAGUAAUGUGGCCAGAUCUGGACUCAAAAUCAUGUGAAUGCAAACUGCAUUGGCCAGAGUGCCAGGCCUGGAUCAGGAGAGCCCAAAUCUGCCCUCAGCCGCCUCCAGGCUGACCCUGGGCCAGUCCCAUAAUCCUGUUGGCCACAAAGAAGUGGAGAAGAAAAAUCGGCCAACCGCUGAAGCACAAGGAAAACCGCACCUAGGGCAGGGCUGCCAUGUCUGAGGUGGCCCUGGAAGGGAGAGUGUGCUAGAGAGAGAUCUGGUGGUCAGGAAGACAGUGGGAAAGAGAGAUCAAAGGGGCAGUAGGACUGACUGCUCAGUGUGGAUAAACCAUUCCGGCCUGGGAAGAACCAAACAAAAGGGACUCCUCUUACUCAAAGAAAAUGAGAAUCUAUUUACCUUUGAUAAGCACAAGUCAGCAUGCCCAAAGUGCAUCUCCAGUAUGAAGGAACUAGCAGAUAUAAUUAUUAAUCUCAAUAUUUGAAAUCCCAAGAGAAAAUGGAGUCACAGGACUGGAGAAAGACAAAAAUCCUAAUUUCCAAAAAAGAAAAGUCUACAAAACUUCCACAUAGAUGAGCUUGACUUGGAGUCCUGGCAAAUAUAUGAUUAGUCAUCAAUGAACAAAUUAUUUGCGUCAAGAGCUAAGAGAAUACUUGGAUGAUAUCUGCUAAAAAUCAGCAAGUAUUAAGCACCUACAAUGUGCUUAAUGUCUGGGAAUACAAACACAAAAUAUCAAUCCUUACUUGGCAAGAAAAUUACAUUUUAAUAAAACAUGUUAUCUGUUGGUGAGCAAAUGCAAACAUAAUAAAGAUAAAUAUAAAAUAUCUGAGCAUGUAAAGGGAGAAAUGGACUCAGUAAGAGGGAGGUAAAGAGAAUGAAUUCUAGGCAUGGGGGAUGGCCAAUACAAAAAUGAGAGGUGAACUGACCCAAAGAAUCGAGGGAAAGCUAGUUGGACUGGACAAUAGUGCUGGAAAAAUGUAAAUGUGCAUUAAAACCCGAAAAGGAAGUUGAAGCAAAGGCUUUCAAAGCUGAAUAAAGUUUAUAUUUUAUCCUCAAAGUAACAGGAAGCCACUGGAGUUGGGUUAGUAUGGGACUGCACGGUCAUAUUUGCACUUAAAAGACAAUUCCUUUGGCAGUAGUAUAUAGGAAAGACUCCAGGCAGGAAGACCUAUUUGGAGGCUGUUGGAAUAAUUUAGACAGGAGGGCUUGAACUAAAGGAGUAGGUAGCUCUGUGGGGAGCUGUGGAGAGAGACUGGAUACAACUGAGAGGAAGAUAAAACAGCGGGAUUUGGCAGCUGGCUACAUGGGGUGGAGAUUGAGGAAUCAAGGAUAAUGGCAAGACUAUGAACCUGAGACACUAGAAGGGGAAGACUGCCUUUGUUAAAACAGGAAAAUCCAGAAAAGGGAAGGAUUAAGGGAGUGCGGUUUCAGUUACAGACAUGUCAAUAUUGAAAAUGUCUCUGGACAUCCAGUUUGAAAUAUCAAAGCUCUGGGGAGAAACUGAAGAUUUCACUCACUGAGAUAUAGAAAAGAGGACCCAGGAAAGAGCUUUGGGGGACAUUAUCAGGGCUCCCGACCUGAAGAAAAAGGCAGGAAAAGAACCUAAGACAGGAGAGGGUCACCAACAGUAAGCCAAGGAUUAAUUGGGACAGAAUGAAAAUUAAGAAUGCAUAACUUUGGAGAGAUCUCACCUGAGUGAUGAGGUUAAAAGCCAGAAUGCAAAGAGCUGAGAAGUGGAUAUGAGUGUGGAAAUCACUUUUUUCAAGGAAGAUAUUUGAGUAGCUCAAGAGCAUGACAGGAUCUAGUGGAGGCUUUAAGGAUGGGGAGAUUAGGGUGUGGUUGAGAGUGGAAGAGAAGGAACUAGUUGAAAGGGAGCAGCAUCCGGUGGGAUGGAAGGAAGAAGGGGAAAACUCAACGGACGAGGAUGGAAUUGAGAACACAACACAAAGACAGAUAUGCUCCAAGGAGUGAGAAGCUUUGGGAUGUAGAAAAGGGAACUCCUACCUAAUAGGUUCUGUGGGAAAAGAGGCCAUCGAUUAAGGAGAAAGACAAGGGCUAGUCAGCUCCAGUGAAGACCCAUUUGCGCUUAUGUAGUAUGAAAUCCAUGAAAUAAACACAGAAAAUAGGGUGAAGGCAACAGAAGAUGCAGGGUAGGAAACGGUGGUCAAGGAUAUGCUGGUUUCUGGAAGGACUGUGAAAGAAGUCCAGCAUAAAGGAGUUUGCUCAGCAUGUCCAAUCACCUAAAGGAAGUCUUUACUACUAGCCAGUAAGGUACAUCUGAGAGGCUUCCAAAUCCUGGUACAAGAUGUUGGGUAGCACAACAGGUCCUAUCCUGUUGAAUGGAACCAAAGAUGGACCUCGGGAACAUUCCCCAUUACCAAGUUAGCUCUGAACCUACAAGACAUUCAAUGAAUUUACAUCAAGAUUCCCAUUUUUAUUAAAUAAUAUUAAACUGGCAGGUGAGGGAAAUAUAACUAAGGUUUUUAAUGAAGUCUGAUACUCUUGUGGCAAACAUUAAAUGGGUUCAAACAAUAGUACUAGGUGGAUUUUGCACUUCAAGAUAAGAACUGAGGCUACUUAUUUCCCCCAUUUUUAGCCCAGCUGGACAUACAAAUAGGUCUUCAAAUACUGGCCAAAGUACUAUGUGUCAGGGCAAGCCUAUGAGUGUCUAUAGAAAUUAUAGCUUAAAAGACAAGUCUCCAGGCAGCUCUGGCUUACCUGGAGAACACAGCUGGGCUGGAGACGUUAGGCAGUCACAAACUGGGCAGGUUCUAGGAAUACGGAUAGGACAACUGCUCCCCAUCAUGGUCUAGAGUCAGACCUCCUCUGAAAAGUUAUAGUCUCUAGGCAACUUAUUUUAGAAAAGG
rnacentral:lncRNA from 1 species